UACGUAGGGGGCGAGCGUUGUCCGGAUUUAUUGGGCGUAAAGAGCGUGUAGGCGGCCAGGUAGGUCUGCUGUGAAAACUCGAGGCUCAACCUCGAGACGUCGGCGGAAACCAUCUGGCUAGAGUCCGGAAGAGGAGAGUGGAAUUCCUGGUGUAGCGGUGAAAUGCGCAGAUAUCAGGAAGAACACCCGUGGCGAAGGCGACUUUCUGGUCUGUAACUGACACUGAGGCGCGAAAGCGUGGGGAGCAAACAGG
rnacentral:rRNA from 1 species